AAUGAACGCUGGCGGCAGGCCUAACACAUGCAAGUCGAACGGAGUUAUAUUGUAGCUUGCUAUGGUAUAACUUAGUGGCAGACGGGUGAGUAAUGUAUAGGAAUCUACCUAGUAGUACGGAAUAAUUGUUGGAAACGGGAACUAAUACCGUAUACGCCCUACGGGGGAAAAAUUUAUUGCUAUUAGAUGAGCCUAUAUUAGAUUAGCUAGUUGGUGGAGUAAUAGCCUACCAAGGCAAUGAUCUAUAGCUGAUCUGAGAGGAUGAUCAGCCACACUGGAACUGAGAUACGGUCCAGACUCCUACGGGAGGCAGCGGUGGGGAAUAUUGGACAAUGGGCGAAAGCCUGAUCCAGCCAUGCCGCAUGAGUGAAGAAGGCCUUUGGGUUGUAAAGCUCUUUUAGUGAGGAAGAUAAUGACGGUACUCACAGAAGAAGUCCUGGCUAACUCCGUGCCAGCAGCCGCGGUAAUACGGAGAGGGCUAGCGUUAUUCGGAAUUAUUGGGCGUAAAGGGCGCGUAGGCGGAUUAGUAAGUUAAAAGUGAAAUCCCAAGGCUUAACCUUGGAAUCGCUUUUAAAACUGCUAGUCUAGAGAUUGAAAGAGGAUAGAGGAAUUCCUAGUGUAGAGGUGAAAUUCGUAAAUAUUAGGAGGAACACCAGUGGCGAAGGCGUCUAUCUGGUUCAAAUCUGACGCUGANGCGCG
rnacentral:rRNA from 1 species